GGGUGGUAGCUCUGUGGUUAAGAUGUUAGACUACUGCUUAGAAGGUCAUGAGUUCAAACCCCAGUGCUGCC